UUGAUUUUAGCAUUUAUCUUCUACCGGUGGACGUACACCCGGAUAUGUAGCAAGCGCCUAGCCUUUAGCAAUAUAAACGGGGCUCUCCACAGACAAACGGCAGAUUUCUAACAAUCAUAUUUCCAAUCGAUUCAUCAUUUUAUCGCAAGUGUAACACGAAACACAGAACCGUUUAAGCUUCACAUUAUGUUUCUAGGUUGACGUUGUUUUAGGCUCCACGACGUCCGCAAUGGUUAGCUCUCAUAGCCACCAUGGGCUAUCGCUAACUAGCCGCCCUGUCACCUUGGCUGUCAUCUCCAGAACUGCUCACGCUCGAGCCUCAACGUCCUUGAGACCAACUGGAAAUAUACGGUGUCAGUCCCUCUCAGCUCCAGAUGGCUCCUGGUUCUGAGCCAGUGGGACAUGGCUUCCCUCUUCUGCUCCACUGGUGGAAGAAGACGAGCAGGAGUCAGUGUUUCAGACCGGCGUCUCCGCGGGCGUCACACGGGCGUCGUUGAGGGUCAACCAUCCGGCGCCGUCCUCUCGAGCUACGUCACUGACGUAGUGGCCUGGGGGACACAAGACAUCCAUUACCUUACUGUCCCCCAGCGUGGGACGGGUCUAGUGUCUGACGCGUGUGUCAGCUCUCUCCCUGGCCCCUCUCACCCCAUGAACUUCCUGAAGACCUCUGUCCCUGUCUCCUGCACUGUCAAGAUGAUCCACUGCUGCUGAGAAACACACCAACAAUCCUGUUUUGUACACAA